rnacentral:rRNA from 1 species
ACGAACGCUGGCGGCGUGCCUAAUACAUGCAAGUCGAGCGGAAUGAUGAAGAAGCUUGCUUCUUCUGAUUUUAGCGGCGGACGGGUGAGUAACGCGUGGGCAACCUACCUUGUAGAUUGGGAUAACUCCGGGAAACCGGGGCUAAUACCGAAUAAUCCAUUUUGCUUCAUGGCGAGAUGUUGAAAGACGGUUUCGGCUGUCACUACAAGAUGGGGCCGCGGCGCAUUAGCUAGUUGGUAGGGUAAUGGCCUACCAAGGCGACGAUGCGUAGCCGACCUGAGAGGGUGAUCGGCCACACUGGGACUGAGACACGGCCCAGACUCCUACGGGAGGCAGCAGUAGGGAAUCUUCCACAAUGGACGAAAGUCUGAUGGAGCAACGCCGCGUGAGUGAAGAAGGUUUUCGGAUCGUAAAACUCUGUUGUAAGGGAAGAACACGUACGAGAGUAACUGCUCGUACCUUGACGGUACCUUAUUAGAAAGCCACGGCUAACUACGUG